GACGUAGGGUGCAAGCGUUGUCCGGAUUUAUUGGGCGUAAAGAGUUCGUAGGCGGUUUGUCAAGUCUGAUGUUAAAGGCCUGAGCUCAACUCGGGUAUGGCAUCGGAAACUGACAGGCUGGAGUGUGGUAGAGGCAAGGGGAAUUCCCGGUGUAGCGGUGAAAUGCGUAGAUAUCGAGAGGAACACCUGCGGCGAAGGCGGGUUGCUGGGCUGACACUGACGCUGAGGCGCGAAAGCUAGGGGAGCGAACGGG
rnacentral:rRNA from 1 species